CCCAGCUCUGGGGGUGCAGGACGGCAUGGCCGCUGGAGCCCUCAGACUCGUGACUCGCAAGCCCCCCUCAAACUGGCCCCUUUAAGCAGAGGCGAUGCACCCAGCUGGUCCAGCGCACCCAGGGCCAUGCUGAACCCCAGGGACUUGUGGGUGGAGAAUGUGUGGGCCCUUGGAGUGCGCAGCAGGUGAAGGCAGUAGAGGCCCCCGGGAGCCACUCCCAGCCCGGUGCGGAGUUCCAGGUGCUGCCUGGGGAGGGCCAGUGCGGGGCGUUUUUUCUACAAGAGGAACCGACCUAGUUUUAUAAAGAUAAGUCUGUUGUAGUUAAGUGACCCAGCCUUCAAUAAAACCUUAGCCGGAGGUUAAACGCA